AACGCUAGCUACAGGCUUAACACAUGCNAGUCGCGGGGCAGCAUGAAGGAUGCNUGCAUCCUUUGAUGGCGACCGGCGCACGGGUGAGUAACGCGUAUCCAACCUGCCUGUUACCACGGCACAGCCCGUCGAAAGGCGGAUUAAUGCCGUAUGUGGUCCUUUGCGGGCAUCUAAUUAGGACUAAAGGUUCAGCGGUAACGGAUGGGGAUGCGUCCGAUUAGCUAGACGGCGGGGUAACGGCCCACCGUGGCUACGAUCGGUAGGGGUUCUGAGAGGAAGGUCCCCCACACUGGAACUGAGACACGGUCCAGACUCCUACGGGAGGCAGCAGUGAGGAAUAUUGGUCAAUGGGCGUAAGCCUGAACCAGCCAAGUAGCGUGAGGGAAGACUGCCCUAUGGGUUGUAAACCUCUUCUGUGCGGGGAUAAAGUGUGGGACGUGUCCCAUAUUGCAGGUACCGCACGAAUAAGGACCGGCUAAUUCCGUGCCAGCAGCCGCGGUAAUACGGAAGGUCCGGGCGUUAUCCGGAUUUAUUGGGUUUAAAGGGAGCGCAGGCCGUCUUUUAAGCGUGCUGUGAAAUGCCGCGGCUCAACCGUGGCACUGCAGCGCGAACUGGAGGACUUGAGUACGCACGAGGUAGGCGGAAUUCGUGGUGUAGCGGUGAAAUGCUUAGAUAUCACGAAGAACUCCGAUUG
rnacentral:rRNA from 1 species